rnacentral:tRNA from 1 species
AUUAGUUUGGCAGAGUAGUGCAUUAAAUUUAGAAUUUAAUUAAAUUCAUUUAGAAUAACUAAUA